CUAUGAAUAAUUUCGAUUGGAUGUCACUAUAUCUUAAUAACUAUUAUAGAUGUGGAUUCAAGUGAGAGGACUAAUUACCCCUAUUGCCGUAAUUGACACAAUCAAGCUAUCAUUUUGGUGUAUAAUAUCUUGUGUAUUUAUUUGUCGUAUACUUUCCUUCUAUUGCUUUUGUUUGUGUAUAAUUGUACAUGUAAUUAUGGAUUCUAUAUACAAGAAAACAUCCAUAUUCAAUAAAAAGUCCACAUGGUAUCAGAGCCCUAAUUUUCUUUUAGAAAUUUUGCCGCGGCUAGUUCAAUUCCGUCCGCCGGUCAUCUCCCGUUCAACUCUCCGACGACCACCUCCGUUCAGAUCUCCGACGAGAUCUCUGAAGCAAGUCGUACACAUCUGUCACUCACACCAGAUCUGUCUGUGACUCUUCUUCUGUCCACGAUCCCAGAUCUCACACGCCUCAGUCGCUCACGCCACCUGCCAAUCCUCGCUCUGCUUGUCACGCACGUCCGCCAUUUUUCGCCGAACCAUCUGACCAUCAAUCUUCCUAGUCGCCGCCCGAAGAGAUCUCUGAAGCAAACCACACGCGUUCAACUAGAUCUAUCCGUGGUUCUAGUUCUGUCCACGAUUUCAGAUCUCGCACGCGUCUGCCACUCACACCAGCCGUCUUGUUUUUGUCCGAGAGUUGAAGAGUUGCCGUUUUCGUCCACAAUUCCGUCCACGAUUCCAGAUCUCCUAGUCACACGCACGUUCACCAUUUUCGUCCGAGCAUCUCACCUUCAACCUUCUUGUUUUUGUGUAACCCAGGUCUAAAGUCCAACUCAUUGCCAAAAAAAAAAAAAAAAAAUCAGAUCCAUCCACCUCUGCACAAUCUAUUUCCGUUUCCAGAUCGUGGUUUCAUUGUAGUUCACAAUCUGUCGCAUGGAGAAACAUGAUGUUCCUCGUCCUAUAAGCCCCAUACUUGAUGGCUCCAAUUAUAUCACUUGGGCUCACCAAAUGAGGAGCUUUCUGAUCGGUCGAAAACUAUGGCGUAUAGUUAUCGGCGAUAUCACCAAACCCACUCCUCCCAAGAGAACAAUUAGUAAAGUCACCAAUAAAGACAUUGAUGUCAAUAGAGGACGACAAGUACAUUGAAAAACUUGAGGACUGAGAUAGUAAAAAUCAUCAAAUCAUCACUUGGUUGGGUAACACCUCUAUCCCUGCAAUUCAUACUCAAUUUGAUGCAUUUGAUAUUGCCAAGGAUCUUUGGGAUUUUCGGUACACAAGGUUUCAGUCCAUUGGGCUUGCUCAUUAUUAUCAAUUACACUCGUCUUGUGAGUCUAACCCAGAAGGGAGGACAAUAUGUGAAUGAGUAUCUUGCCACCCUUCAGCCAAUUUGGACUCAACUAGACCAGGCAAAAAUUAGUCCAGAUCAUAUUCGCCUCAUUCAAGUCCUCAUGAGUUUGUGCCUGGAGUAUGAAUCAAUUCGGGCCGCUCUCUUACAUCGCAAUCCUCUACCAUCUCUCGAUGCCGCCAUUCAAGAAAUUUUAUUUGAAGAAAAACGUCUUGGCAUUGUCUCUCCUUUACCCUCUGAUGUUGCGCUUGCAACCACCUAUCUACGACCUGCGAAUGAGACCACUUUCUGCAAAAAUUAUAAACUUCAUGGUCAUAAGUUUGCUAAUUGUCCUACUAUUGAGUGCAAGUAUUGUCACAAGCGAGUGCAAGUAUUGUCACAAGCGAGGUCACAUCCGGGAAAACUGUCCCACUCGCCCACCCCGCUCUUCUGGUCACUCCUAUAAACCCAAGUCUUCUCCUAAAACUGGUUCUCACCCUGUGAUUGCUACUGCUAACCCAUCUGAUAUUAUUGCCCCUCAAAAUGUUCAAUUAAAUGAUCUGCAUGACUUACUGAAAUAGGUGAUCUCUUCCAACUCUACUGCUCUUGCAGUCACUCCAGGUUCAGGAUUCUUAGACGGGACAGGUGAUUGGUACGAGACGGAAGGUGGGACGAUUAUUUGAGCUCACAUCUCCUCAGCAUUCUCCUAUGUUCCCACUCAUCUCAGCACCAGUCACUGAUAAUACUAUAUACUAGUGGCAUCUCCGUCUAGGUCAUACUUCCUCUGAUAAACUUCAUAAUUUAGUUUCUACUGGCACCUUGAAAAAUGUCCCAAAAUUUAGUCCCUUUGACUAUUUAAAUUGCAAACUUGCGAAACAACCUGCUUUAUCAUUUUCUAAUUCUGCUUCAUUAUGUGAUACUCAUUUUGGUCUUAUUCAUUUUGACAUUUGGGGUUCUGCUUUAUGUACUACUGUUAAUGGUUAUUGAUAUUUUGUCUUAUUUAUUGAUGACUAUUCUCGUUUCACUUGGAUUUACUUUCUUAAACACCGUUCUUCGUUAUAUCAAAUUUAUGUUGAUUUUGCGAAUAUGAUUCACACACAAUUCUCUAGCACAAUUAAAAUCCUUCGCGCUGACAAUGCGAUGGAAUAUAAAGACUCCCGUCUUCUUUCCUUCAUUGCCCAUCAAGGCACUUUGAUUCAACGCUCAUGUCCCCACACCUCCCAGCAGAAUGGAAGAGCUGAACGCAAACACCGUCACAUUCUAGACUCUGUUCGUGCUCAACUUCUUUCUACUUCCUGUCCUGAAAAAAUUUGGGGAGAGGCUGCCCUCACCUCAGUCUAUGUCAUCAACCGCAUUCCUUCUCAUGUCAUUCAUUCACAAUGUUUCCCCUUUUGAGCGACUAUAUGGUACUUUCCCUUCUUACUCUAAUCUCAAGGUCUUUGGUUGUGCAUGUUUUGUAUUAUUACAUCCUCAUCAACAUACCAAACUUGAACCAAGGGCUCGUCUUUGUUGUUUCUUGGGUUAUGGUACUGAACAUAAAGGAUUUCGCUGUUGGGAUCCCAUCUCUCUGCGAUUACGAAUAUCCCAUCAUGUCACCUUUUGGGAACAUCGUAUGUUCUCUACUCUUUCUUCAUUUCAUGCAUUUCUUUUUGGUCCUCACUUAUUUUUCACUAAUCCUUCUACUGACCUAUUCCCUACUUCUUGCUUAUCACUACACCUUGUCCUCUACCCAUAUCUGAGCUCACUCAACCAGAACCUAUCCCUGCGCUCCCGGAUCUUCCAUCCGUCUCUUGUGAGGAUUCUGCAUCUGCACCGGCCCGACGGUCUACCCGGGUAAGAGAAUCUCCUCCUCAUCUUAAAGAUUACAAUUGUUUUUCCACUAUCAUGUCUUUGGUUGAACCUUCCUCAUAUAAGGAAGUCAGUACUAACUCAUUGUGGCAGCAAGCAAUGAACGAAGAACUCCAAACCUUAGAAAAAACUCAUACUUGGGACUAUGUAUGAAAAUAAGUAAGCACAAGGUGAAAAUAAGCUUUUAAUCUUGUCAAACUUCCCCUAUUUAGUAUUUAUAGACUUUUUCAGUGAAGCCUCCCAUUCUGGAAUGACUACCUCUACGUAACGGUGAGGAUCAUUCAAUCUCAAAACGCCACAUGGCUCCUGCCACUCUUAUUUUGAACUUGGUGGGCGACAAGGUCAAAUCAAUUCGUUGACCUUAUGACAUCAACUAUUUUGUGGUGAAGGAAGCUCUCAUUCACCUCCCAUCUCAAGGUAAAAAAAAUGGUUUUAUUUGAGAAUAAAAAAAGGAGAUUGAGAGAGGUGGCAGUCGACGCAAGAGACAAACACAGUGAGAGAGAAUUUUUCUUGCAAACAAGAGAGGAGAAAGUGUGGCCGACGAAGAAGAAGACAUUGGAGUUUCGACGUCAGUGAUGAUAGACUUUUUCGAGCAGCAUUUUACAGCGUAUGACUUUGGUCGUGGGUUUGUAGGAAGUUCUGGCAUUCCAGCGUUUGUUGGAGUCAGAUUUAAUCGACUUUCAUAGGUUUAAUUGCAGAUAGGAGAAUAGAAGGGUCGAGUGGCGUUUUCGACAAGUUUAAUUGUGAAUUUUGUCGUUGGUGUUUUUUUCUUUCAAUUGAGGUUCUUCUUGGGAUUUUUAGUGGGUUGUUCGACACAUAAGUCUCCGAUCAAAGGAGCCAACAAGAAGAAAAUCCCAAAGCUUCCAAUCAGAGGAGCCGACAAGAAGAAAAUAAAAGUAUGGAGACUUUGAAGAGUUUGAAAGUGACGAAACUAGAAGCUCCAAUAGUUUCUGCAACUGACGAAAGAAUUUAAUGUUAAUUUGUGGAUUUUGGAGGAAAUUAGGAUUUUGAGAGGUGUAAGUUGUGUGUUGAGAAUUUGAUUUUAACUAUAGGGUAUUAGUGAUUUCUUGAAUAAUUGUAUUCAUGAUUCAAUUUUUGAAUUAAGUAGAGACAUUUAAGAUAUUGUUCCAGCAA